rnacentral:lncRNA from 1 species
GCUGGCCUGUAUCUGGACCCUCCUGGACUCCUAUCAUCCACCCUUUUCCACAAUGCCCAUUCCCAAAGCCUGGUGCUGCUUGGGCUGUGCAUUUCCGUUUGGAUUCCAGCUCUAGAACCUCCUCUGGUCCUCCCAGUGGCUCUACCCGGUGAAGUUGGAUGAUUCAGUGCUGCUCUUCUAGGUCGUGUUGGGGGCCAAGUGAUAGAAGCUGCGUAAAUGUAUCUCUAGGUUUUGUUCAAGGAUGGACAGAGGGUGUUAUGUGACCUCAAAGAGGGAGUGAUGAGCAGAAGAGCAGAUCUGGGGGUGAACCACUGGCUCCUGUGACAGUUUCAGAGCCACUCAUGGCAAGGGAGUUGCUGUGUUCCCAUGGCAACAGUAACCUACAGGGCUCACCUUGGGAACACUGCUGUGUGCCCGGGCCAUGGGGCUUCCUGUUUCCUGUGUCCUAGCUCAGCAAGGACUUAUCCAGCCUUUGUGGCUCCUCAACAUGUCCCCUGCCCCUCCCCAUCACAUGCAGUUCCAUGCCAUAGGCAUCUGUACUCAGAGGCUCACAGGACAGUGGCACAGAAAGGCAGCACACUGUGAAUCCAAGUGCCAAGACAACUUCUGCAAACUCCAGGGUUGAGACAGCCCACAGAAAAGGCUGUGCCACCAAAACUGU